rnacentral:misc_RNA from 1 species
CCGCCAACUUGGCUCAGUUGUGCCCCAACCCUCGGCGUGAGUGGAUGUGCGUGUCUCUUGGUUGCGUCUUGUCCCCUGCGGCACGCCGUCAUACACUCGAGUGUGUCUUGUGGACUCCACACACGAGGACGAGUGUUUAGUGGAAUACAAUUACCUGAUAGUUUUCGGGUGAUCGAUGUGCACAUGCAGAAAUAAAUAAGAAAAUUGUGUUAAAAAUGUUUUGGGAGCUGUAGAAGUGAUUUUUAACUGGCCUGUGUUUUGCGGCAAUAGUAAUUAUUAUUACAUGUGAUAUACUUGACACCUUGGGAAGUAACUUGGUCCAGAGGCCCUCAAACUGGGAAAUAACUUCGCCCCGAGGCCCUCACACUGGGAAGUAGUUACCAGUAAGACAUUUGACCCACUCGGGUGGUUUAAUGCUGAUAUCGAGACAUUUCAAGAUUUGUCUACAAGAAAGGCGGUGAUGGUGGGGAGGUGAGGGAGGCGUGCCGCCCGUGACCCCCACAACCAGCAGCAGCAGCAGCAGGAUGACGUCUCACAGCAGCAGAAGGCGGUGGAGAAGCAGCAGCAGUUACACACUGUUGGUGCUGGUGAUGUUGGUGCUGCAGAGCUCGGCCUCCACCGCGGCCAGGAACGAGGAAUACGACUACGAUGUUGGAGAAGGGGGUCGGCCGGGCGUGGAGGUGGUGGAGACGGCGGCCAGCGAGCACAGCUUCCACCGGGAGCGGAGGGUGGUGGUGGGUGGUCGAGUCAGCUUGAAGUGUCGACCAGACGACAUCCAGGAGGGCUCCCUCGACUUCGGCUCCUGGUACUUCAACGACGUCCCGCUCGACCAGCUCCAGAACCCGCGCCUCAAAGUCGUGGAUACCAGGAACAGAUUGUGGCCCCGUAUACGGGUGAAGGCAGCCAAGAUGGAAGAUGAAGGGCUGUACUCCUGCAAGUGGAGCAGCACAGGGUAUCUGCAUGGUUGGGUAAACUACACGCUUAUUGUGGAAGAGGACACUCCCACGCCUACCCUACCCCAGGCUUUAUAUGCUGAUAGCAAAGUGCUGGAGAUGGAGCAGGGAGAGUACCCUGCAGACUCUGCUCCUGUCUUCACCAAAGAUCUCAACUCUCUCAUGAUGAAGCCAGCUGGUAAUGUUGCUGACCUUAGGUGUCAAGCUCGUGGCCCCAAUCUCAAUACGACCUGGUUAAAAAAUGGUGAGAAGCCUGUGCGACAGUUGGGUAUUGUGCGGAUCAAGGGACCCUUACUCAAAAUGGAGAACCUUGUACCAACAGAUUCUGGAAAUUACACGUGCUUUGUCUCCAACAGCCAUGGAACCAUCAACCACACUUAUGUUUUAGAAGUUAUUGAACACAUCCCUUCAAGGCCAAUCUUCACCAAGCACCUGGAAAAUGUGACUGUAGUUCGAGGCGGUACGGUGCGCUUUGAGGUGGACAUCUGGACAGAAAAUACUCUAAUUCCUUAUAUUGUGUGGAGAAAAGAUUUGCCUUUCUCUUGGUCAGACUCUGAUUCUCGAGAUUCCUCUGAAAUCAUAAUAGAUAUGGAAAUUCUUUUGGCUGCGAUAAAAGGCCAGGAAGGUGGAAAUAUAACAAGCACAGAGGAUCCUCAAGUGUUGGUGCUGACCAAUGUAACAGAGAAAGAUGCUGGCUGGUAUACCUGCAUUGCUGCAAACAGCCUUGGAACUUCCUCAUCAACAGCCUACCUAAAUGUUACCGAUGCGGAGCCAAUCCUUGCAGAUGCCGAGUCUCACACUAUUCUCGUUCUCGGAGUAGUUUUACUUUCUGUUAUGGUAAUUGCUAGCAUCAUGGCUUCCUUUGUCUGGAAGAAAUGGCAAAAUGAAAAGCGACGCGCCAAAGAGCUGGAACGUGCCAAGGAGGCUAUUUCACAGCAGUGGAUCAAAAAGGUUAUUGUAGAACGUCAGAACUCGGAUGCUUCACAGGAACCUCUUCUUGUUCCCACAAUAAAAAUUGAACGUUGUCAGUCUACAUCACGUCUAGGCUCCGAAAUGACAAGCAUAUCAGAAUAUGAAUUACCUUUGGAUGCACCUUGGGAGUUACCACGCUCAAGAUUGUUAAUGGGAGAGUCUCUGGGAGAAGGUGCCUUUGGAAAAGUUGUGAGAGCUGAAGUCCAAGGUUUUCUCAGACCAGAUAUGAAUACAACUGUAGCAGUGAAAAUGUUGAAGGAGGGUCACACAGAUUCUGAACUCAUGGACUUGGUAUCAGAGAUGGAAAUGAUGAAGAUGAUUGGAACCCAUAUCAACAUCAUUAACUUGCUUGGUUGCUGUACACAAGACGGCCCUCUUUAUGUUGUUGUUGAGUAUGCAGCACAUGGUAAUCUUCGUGAUUAUCUUCGCAACAACAGGCCAUCUUCUGGCUAUGAACGAGCAAUUGGCCAAGAACCAGACACAAUUUCACAAAAAGAUUUGGUCAGCUUUGCGUAUCAAGUAGCACGGGGCAUGGAAUACUUGGCAUCAAGAAAGUGCAUCCACCGUGACCUUGCUGCGCGCAAUGUUCUAGUCAGUGAAGAUCGCAUCAUGAAAAUUGCAGACUUUGGUCUGGCACGAGACAUACACAGCCAGGAUUAUUACCGAAAGACAAGUGAAGGGAGACUGCCUGUUAAAUGGAUGGCUCCAGAGGCACUCUUCCACAGAGUUUAUACAUCACAGUCAGAUGUAUGGUCAUUUGGUAUCCUGUUAUGGGAGAUCAUGACACUGGGAGGAACACCCUACCCAGCAGUGCCAGGGGUUGAAAAGCUUUUCCAGCUGUUGCGAGAGGGACACAGAAUGGAAAAACCUUCAAAUUGUCCAAUUGAAAUUUACUUGCUCAUGAGGAAUUGUUGGAAAGGUCAGGCAAUGCAACGUCCAACUUUCAAGAAACUUGUUGAAGACCUCGACCAAAUUCUCACACUAUCUUCAACUGCUGAGUACCUAAACCUGUCUAUGCCUCACGUGGAUACACCACCUACCAGCUGUGAUUCAUCUCUCACAUCAGAUGCUCUCACACUACACUAAGAUGCUACUGCAUCAGCAUGUGUUGCUCACAUCACUGCUGAUCCCAGUAUGACAGCUGGUACAGUGCCUUCAUAGUAAUGAGAUUUAGCCUAAAUAAAGGUUAUAACCUAAAGUGAAAAAAAAGUGAAAAUACCACACAAAAUUGCCAUAUGGUCUAAAACAAUAAGCUGAAAAGGGAUAAUCAUAAGUCUUUAUACAGCAAUAGAUUUUGGCACUUACCUGUGGAGUAAAUUAAUUAUGAAAGUCACUAGAACUACAGUGUAUUUAGAAAUGUUUGAAUGGAAAUUUUCAAAUCAGAAUGCAAAAGUAGAUAUGUGCAUUUAUUUAAUCAUAUUUACUCAUUUUGAAAAGUGCUGUUAAUUUUGGUGUUAAGUGGUGAUUCAGGAAAGAUGCCACGUCUUGUGUGAAGAAGGAAACUAUGAACUGAACACUGAUCUGUGUCACAAAUGCAGUCACAAAGAGUGAUGAGGUGCUAUGAAUUCUAGUGAGGACUAGAUGGUGUGUGAUGAGAUGUGACAUGGCCGCCAGCCACUUCUGCUGGGGCAAGUUCUCGUACAUCACACAUCAAAAUAUUAAUAAUGAAGAGCAUAAUAAAUGUACGAAGAGAUUCCUAAGCAUUUUAUUUUUAUCAGUAUUUAUGUUUGUGUGAUCUGUAAAUCUGUAAUUUGUAGAUUUAUAUAAAGGAGAUGUUUGUGUACUUAAGUUGUUUGUUAGUAACUUCAUUGUACAAGAUAUUAUUGUGCAUACAGUAUGUCUUAAUGUACCAUUUAAUUAUUGUGGGUGCCAUAUUUGGUGAAAACUAUUUCCUAGUUAUUUUGCAGCACAAUGAAAGUUGCAUAAAUGUUGUAAAUUUAGUCACUUGGAGAAAUACACAAAAAUUUAGUGCCAUGUGAAUGAGAGUUAUUAUGAUAGAUUCUUUUUACAGACAUGAUGUAUGUAAGGAAUGGUUGCAGUUUUCUCAGGGUUUAUCACAUUAUAAUAUGAGAUUAGAAUGUAGUAUCCCUUCCACGGUGUUGGGAGUGGAAUAAGAGGCAGCCAUAGUGGAAGGUAGUAUCCCUCCCACGGUGCUGGGAGUGGAGUAAGAGGCAGCCAUAGUGGAAGGUAGUAUCCCUCCCACAGUGCUGGGAGACAUAGCUUUAGAAGCUCACAGUUCCAAGAUGGCUUAGGUAUAGGGGGAGUACCAGACUUGCAUUUAAAAUUGUACAAGCUUACAGUUUGUAGUACAGUACCAGUAAUGUUUUCAGGGAUAAGAUA